rnacentral:rRNA from 1 species
AGCAGUAGCCACGGUAAUACGAAGGGGGCUAGCGUUGCUCGGAAUCACUGGGCGUAAAGGGUGCGUAGGCGGGUCUUUAAGUCAGGGGUGAAAUCCUGGAGCUCAACUCCAGAACUGCCUUUGAUACUGAAGAUCUUGAGUUCGGGAGAGGUGAGUGGAAUUCCGAGUGUAGAGGUGAAAUUCGUAGAUAUUCGGAAGAACACCAGUGGCGAAGGCGGCUCACUGGACUGGUAUUGACGCUGAGGUGCGAAAGCGUGGGGAGCAAACAGGAUUAGAUACCCGUGUAGUCCCUGUCUCUUAUAA